CGGUAGCUAAUACCGCAUAACGUCGCAAGACCAAAGAGGGGGACCUUCGGGCCUCUUGCCAUCAGAUGUGCCCAGAUGGGAUUAGCUAGUAGGUGGGGUAACGGCUCACCUAGGUGACGAUCCCUAGCUGGUCUGAGAGGAUGACCAGCCACACUGGAACUGAGACACGGUCCAGACUCCUACGGGAGGCAGCAUG
rnacentral:rRNA from 1 species